AUUGAACGCUGGCGGCAGGCUUAACACAUGCAAGUCGAGCGGAGAUGAGGUGCUUGCACCUUAUCUUAGCGGCGGACGGGUGAGUAAUGCUUAGGAAUCUGCCUAUUAGUGGGGCACAUCAUUCCGAAAGGAAUGCUAAUACCGCAUACGUCCUCCGGGAGAAAGCAGGGGAUCUUCGGACCUUGCGCUAAUAGAUGAGCCUAAGUCGGAUUAGCUAGUUGGUGGGGUAAAGGCCUACCAAGGCGACGAUCUGUAGCGGGUCUGAGAGGAUGAUCCGCCACACUGGGACUGAGAAACGGCCAAGACUCCUACGGGAGGCAGCAGUGGGGAAUAUUGGACAAUGGGCGGAAGCCUGAUCCAGCCAUGCCGCGUGUGUGAAGAAGGCCUUUUGGUUGUAAAGCACUUUAAGCGAGGAGGAGGCUACCUAGAUUAAUACUCUGGGAUAGUGGACGUUACUCGCAGAAUAAGCACCGGCUAACUCUGUGCCAGCCGCCGCCGUAAUAC
rnacentral:rRNA from 1 species